rnacentral:rRNA from 1 species
UGAGGGAUAUUGGUCAAUGGGCGCAAGCCUGAACCAGCGACGCCGCGUGGGUGAAGAAGGUCUUCGGAUCGUAAAGCCCUUUUCCCACUGAAGAGGAAGGACGGUAGGUGGGGAAGAAGUCUCGGCUAACUACGUGCCAGCAGCCGCGGUAAAACGUAGGAGACAAGCGUUAUCCGGAGUUACUGGGCGUAAAGGGCGUGCAGGUGGCGUCUUAAGUCUGUUGUGAAAGCGCCUGGCUUAACCGGGCGAGGCCAAUGGAGACUGAGAGGCUGGAGGACGGCGGAGGGGUGUGGAAUUCCGGGUGUAGUGGUGAAAUACGUAGAGAUCCGGAGGAAUACCAGAGGCGAAGGCGGCACUCUAAGCCGUACCUGACACUGAGACGCGACAGCACGGGGAGCAAACG